rnacentral:lncRNA from 1 species
CGCAGAUUUAAAUUUAUACUCAAAAAAAACCACUACACAUGCAAAGGGAACAAUAUCCUGCUAUCAUAACUUCAUUUGCUGCUGCAUUUGUCUAAUAUUAACAAUUAUGAACAGAGCAGUGCAACUAGUAUUUGGAACAAUCCUUACAGUGUUCGAGUGUCAGGCACAAUGCUUCACUUCUCUUCACACCACUGGUUCUCCUUACGUACCUGUGCUUCUUCCUCCUCAGUGAAGUCAUUCUUAAUAUUGAAUGUCUUGCGAAUUUCUUCUGGAGUUUUCCCCUUGAUCAUGUUGGCAACUGUCUUGCAUGUGACAUCAAGCAAACCUUUGAUGUCCAAGUAAUUUGCAGCCAGGAUGAGUUCAAAAAGUGUUCCUUGGUCUACUUUCAGAAAUUCUUGAUCCCACACAGGGAUGUCAUCCGUUCUUUUCUCCUUGUUCUCAUCAUCCUCAGGAGGAGGUGGAUCAUCUUUGUGAUGGGUGCACCACUGAAUCACCUUUUUUAAAAUAGCUGCGUUGACAUUUGGAAGAGGGACUGGGUCAUCAUCGCCUUCAUCAUCCAUUCCCAGGUCUUCCAGCAUAGUCUUUAUGGUUACGGACUGUUUUGCAAUUUCAACAUCAACUUCAAAAAUCUCUCCAUCUGAACUCUGCAGCUUAAUUGAAGGCAUCUCCAGAUGUGUUCCGGUCCAAC